GAUGAACGCUGGCGGCGUGCUUAACACAUGCAAGUCGAACGGAAAGGCCCUGCUUUUGUUGGGUUCUCGAUUGGCGAACGGGGGAGUAACACGUGAGUAACCUGCCCUUGACUUUGUGAUAACUUCUGGAAACUGGGGCUAAUACCGGAUAGGAUCUCCUGCUGCGUGUUGGUGGUUGGAAAGUUUCGGCGGUUGUGGAUGUGCUCGAGGCAUAUCAGCUUGUUUGUGUGGUAGUGGCUUACCAAGGCUUUGACGGGUAGCCGGCCUGAGAGGGUGACCGGCGAUAUUGGGACUGAGAGACGGCACAGACUGCGACGGGAGGGAGAAGUGGGGAAGCUUGAACAAUGGGCGGAAGCCUGAUGAAGAAAGGCCGCGUACGGGAUGACGGCGUUAGGGUUGUAAAACGAUUUCGCAUGUGACGAAGCGUGAGUGAACGUAAUGGGUACAGAAGCACAGGCCAAACACGUGC
rnacentral:rRNA from 1 species